GAUGAACGCUGGCGGCAUGCUUUACACAUGCAAGUCGGACGGGAAGUGGUGUUUCCAGUGGCGGGCGGGUGAGUAACGCGUAAGAACCUGCCCUUGGGAGGGGAACAACAGCUGGAAACGGCUGCUAAUACCCCGUAGGCUGAGGAGCGAAAGGAGGAAUCCGCCCAAGGAGGGGCUCGCGUCUGAUUAGCUAGUUGGUGAGGUAAUAGCUUACCAAGGCCGUGAUCAGUAGCUGGUCCGAGAGGAUGAUCAGCCACACUGGGACUGAGACAAGGCCCAGACUCCUACGGGAGGCAGCAGUGGGGAAUGUUCCGCAAUGGGCGAAAGCCUGACGGAGCAAUGCCGCGUGGAGGUAAAAGGCCUACGGGUCAUGAACUUCUUUUCCUGGAGAAGAAACAAUGACGGUAUCUGGGGAAUAAGCAUCGGCUAACUCUGUG
rnacentral:rRNA from 1 species